rnacentral:lncRNA from 1 species
AAAAUGUUUAUAGGUUUUUAUAGAGAAGUUUAUAGAUGAUCAAAGGAAAUAUGGUAUUUUUUUUAACAUUGCUAAGUUAUUUUAAAAUUUGACGGGCACUUACGUGCCAACUUUACCAUGAAAUGUUCCAUAAAAUUAAAGAGACCCUAAUGGAUUCUAUUUAUUGAAGUGACAAACAUUCGGGACAACCUAUGGGGCUGAGUUGAAACCGAGUUCGGGAAUGCUGCGCCAAGAGAAGCACUUGCAAGCUUACUCAUAUGCAUGUAUGUAUGGAGGUAUUGGACCGGCUCACUAAAUAUAAAACUAAAACUGCAUAGAAGUGCAUGAAGGAGAACAGCAAUAAGUUAUACAAGUAGAGAAGAACGUGCAAAAAGUAAUAGCAAAUGCAAAAAUAGUUGUAAGAACAACAAAUGGUGUAAUAGUGUAUAUAGUACCAAUAAAUAAUGCAUAAAAGCAAAGGCAAGGUUGCAAACUGGUAUUGGAGUAAUGUGAAACCGUCGCGCUGUGGGAGGAGCUGGUGUGGUAUAACAGCAACAAGACCAAAUCGCUGUUGUUGUUAUUGUGCUUGUACUUACACCUAGUUAUUUUUUUGCUGCCUGUAUAUUUGAGAUCAAGAUCAAGGUUUUUUCCCUCAGCCUCAUGCAAUACCUUGCGUCUUAUGUGUUUGGCUUGUACUGUUUGUGUCUUUUU